UUGAGUGAAGUACGCUGUUUGCUGUUCAGUUUCUCAUGUUUAAGUGAAGGUGGAAAUCGUAGUUAUCUGUGCACUACUCUUUACACUUCAAACUCUGACAUGUUAUGUAUGGUUUCCGUAAAUAAUGCAGAUGAAAUAUGUAUGUUACUUUCUUGAAUUUACGUGUAUAUAUCACGUGGUCAAGAUAAUAGGUUAAGGAACCUGCAGUGUGUAAUCGUUGUGACAUUUUGAAGAUACGAACAGGCCUGAUGUAGUCCUGAGUGCAUGACAACACAUAGCGGCGACCGUUUGUGACCUUGAUUUUAACAUUUGAGGUUAUAUGAAAGCAGAAAUAUUCCUGAGUAAUUUAAUAUAGUUUUCACUUAUUAUAUGUGUAAAAAUUCGUUGAAUCGAAUGUUUUACGACGUUCUGUAAACCGCUAACAUUAUUUAGUGCCAAAGGAGUUAUGGAAUGACUGUGUAAAAUUAAUUUGUAGGAGUGUAUUAAGAAGCUGGCGUGGUCUGUAUUUUAAGUUACUGCUACUGGGUCUGCUGGAGUUACCAGACAAAACCAUAGAAGUCUUUCAAGACUGUUGAGUGCUUGGCCAGAAUUCUAACAUGGGACCUUCCGAGCAAGAAGUAGGCGUGUAAACAACUACACCACAACAUCCGGUAGCACUAAGUCCGCUGGUAGGUGAAUCUGCCAACAGUGGUCUCUCUGUCGUUAGCUGUCGGCAACGCUGAAUGUUACCAUUGUACUGUGAGCACCUGAGGUGACUACUCUGACACACAGUUAUGCUAAGGUUCUUCCACCCUGUGAGAGACCGAACAAAUUCCUGUAUCUAGAGGGGUGUCAGUUAAGAUACUGCUAUCACAAGUGGUGAAGGAUGACAUUGAUGUUUGAGUGAUUUCUGCUGUAUGCAGAAGUUCAUCCAUGAAGAUGACCUGUACUUAAAGGUCUAAAGAGGUACCCCUGAGGAGACUGAAGUAGCAGCUGCUUGUGUUCAGGCAAGCACUGUGUUGAAAUGGUGAAGACUACUAAUGUUUGGGAGGAACUUCCUACGUCAUAUUUUAGUAUCAAAAACAAAACAUCAGUAUCAUUACCAUUUGACUGCGCCGUAGCUCAAGCAGUGAGUCGCUGGCUUCCCACUGCUGCGGCCUGGGUUUGAUCCCGAGUCUGGUU